AUUGAACGCUGGCGGCAGGCCUAACACAUGCAAGUCGAGCGGUAGAGAGGUGCUUGCAUCUCUUGAGAGCGGCGGACGGGUGAGUAAUGCCUAGGAAUCUGCCUAGUGGUGGGGGAUAACGUUCGGAAACGGACGCUAAUACCGCAUACGUCCUACGGGAGAAAGCGGGGGAUCUUCGGACCUCGCGCCAUUAGAUGAGCCUAGGUCGGAUUAGCUAGUUGGUGAGGUAAUGGCUCACCAAGGCGACGAUCCGUAACUGGUCUGAGAGGAUGAUCAGUCACACUGGAACUGAGACACGGUCCAGACUCCUACAGGAGGCAGCAGUGGGGAAUAUUGGACAAUGGGCGAAAGCCUGAUCCAGCCAUGCCGCGUGUGUGAAGAAGGUCUUCGGAUUGUAAAGCACUUUAAGUUGGGAGGAAGGGUAGUAACCUAAUACGUUGCUACUUUGACGUUACCGACAGAAUAAG
rnacentral:rRNA from 1 species